AUUGAACGCUGGCGGCGGGCUUAACACAUGCAAGUCGAACGAUGAAGUCUAACUUGCUAUACUGAUUAGAGGCGAACGGGUGAGUAAUGCUUAUGAAUCUGCCUAUUAGUGGGGGAUAACGUAUGGAAACUUACACUAAUACCGCAUACGUCUUACAAAAGAAAGGGGGCUUUUACCUCUCGCUAAUAGAUGAGCCUAACUCGGAUUAGCUAGUUGGUGGGGUAAAGGCCUACCAAGGCGACGAUCUGUAGCUGGACUGACAUGAUGAUCAGCCACACUGGGACUGAGACACGGCCCAGACUCCUACGGGAGGCACCACUGGGGAAUAUUGGACAAUGGGCGAAAGCCUGAUCCAGCCAUGCCGCAUGUGUGAAGAAGGCCUUUUGGUUGUAAGGCACUUUAUGUGGGGAGGAAAAGCUUGUGGUUAAUACCCACAAACCCUGACGUUACCCACAUGAAUAAGCACCGGCUAACUCUGUGCCAGCAUCCGCGGUAAUACACAGGGUGCGAGCGUUAAUCGCAAUUACUGGGCGUAAAAGCUAGCGUAGGUGGUCAUUUAAGUCAGAUGUGAAAGCCCCGGGCUUAACCUGGGAACUGCAUCUGAUACUGGGUGACUAGAGUAGGUGAGAGGGAAGUAAAAUUCCUGGUGUAGCGGUGAAAUGCGUAAAGAUCUGGAGGAAUACCGAUGGCGAAGGCAGCUUCCUGGCAUCAUACUGACACUGAGGUUCGAAAGCGUGGGUAGCAAACAGGAUUAGAUACCCUGGUAGUCCACGCCGUAAACGAUGUCUACCAGUCGUUGGGUCUCUUGAAGACUUAGUGACGCAGUUAACGCAAUAAGUACACCGCCUGGGGAGUACGGCCGCAAGGUUAAAACUCAAAUGAAUUGACGGGGGCCCGCACAAGCGGUGGAGCAUGUGGUUUAAUUCGAUGCAACGCGAAGAACCUCACCUGGUCUUGACAUAGUAGGAAUCUUGCAGAGAUGCGAGAGUGCCUUCGGGAAUCUACAUACAGGUGCUGCAUGGCUGUCGUCAGCUCGUGUCGUGAGAUGUUGGGUUAAGUCCCGCAACGAGCGCAACCCUUUUCCUUAGUUACCAUCACUUCGGGUGGGCACUCUAAGGAUACUGCCAGUGACAAACUGGAGGAAGGCGGGGACGACGUCAAGUCAUCAUGGCCCUUACGACCAGGGCUACACACGUGCUACAAUGGUUGGUACAAAGGGUUGCUACCCAGCGAUGUGAUGCUAAUCUCAAAAAGCCAAUCUUAGUCCGGAUUGGAGUCUGCAACUCGCCUCCAUGAAGUCGGAAUCGCUAGUAAUCGCAGAUCAGAAUGCUGCGGUGAAUACGUUCCCGGGCCU
rnacentral:rRNA from 1 species